UUAAAAUAUUAGCAUCAGCCGCUGGCGAUAGAUAGCUCGUCUACAUUGUGUAAAAUAAAGACGGAAACAAACGGAAAGAUGAUAGAAUCGUCCGAGCUCAGCGCAACAUGGGCGAAGUAUCUUGAGACUGCAAAUGGUGGGGUACGAUAGGAAUCCUCUAUCGACACACCCUAACUGUAAUGCAUGUCCUUGGUAGGUUUGGCCACGAGAAGUUCAAUAACCGUCUCGACAUCUACAUUUUCUGUGUCUCCUUUGGUUUGUAAUAUGGCUUGGUCUUGAAGUCCUUCUUACAGGCAAGGCUAUUGAGAGUAAGCUUCUCCUUCCUCUCCAUGUCCAUCCCAAAGAUGUAGAAGUGCUUCAAACUAUUUCCACCAUGUAUUGGGAAGAACACCUGAAAUACCAAUUGUAUGAGGGAGGCAUAUCACCUUCAUACCACAACUGUAAUACUUACAUAUUUCAAUCCAUGGAAUUGAACACCUUGGAGAUACUUCUCAUUUAGGAAAUCCUUGAAAGCAGGCGAGAACCUAGAUUGCAUUAGUGAAAACUCAAAUCUCAUUUUCAACUUAUGUCCCAGCAAGAGAUUGAAGCUGUAACACAGUCAAACUAAAGCCAUAAUAUAGUCCUAUAAACAUUGUUAAGUCACUUUGAAGAUUCACAACCACACUUAUAGUAAUUGAAAUUGGCACACAUAGUUAUUGUGUUGUUGGCAAGCAUAUCCUCCUUGUUGAACUAGUGGCAGAAUGCAUCGGUCAAUAUGUUGUGCAGCUGGUUUGGAUAUUUGAGGGUCUCCAACUCGAACUUCAUCACCUCCAUGCUUUUUUACGGGAAAGUCAUAUAUACUGCAGCUGCUAAUAGAUAACAGUAUUAAAUUACUUUUGCAUAUUCAACUAUAACACAAACGUAAAGCAAAUAUAACAUACUCAGAAAGGAUACAUACACCCUUCCAAUACUUGACAGAACAUACGGUACUAUCCUCCUAUCCACUGGGGUUCAAUUCCAGUUGUAGUCGCUUUGUGAGGAAAAACUUCUUGCGAGUCUUCUUCCGAUCGUAGUCCAUCGAAGUUGGGUUAUGCGGUUCGUCCACUAAGUCCCCCAGAACUUGUUUUGCGGUUCGUGACACCGCUCGAAAAAAGUAAUGUUCGUCCGAAGAUUGCUCAUUGGGAGUAGUGGACUCUUCAGAGGAUGUAUCCACCAUCUUUUGAUCUCCA
rnacentral:lncRNA from 1 species